AGACUUCCCAGCAGGGGAGAUCCCGUGAUCCCGAGGGCGGUUUUCCCAGGGUGAGGCUUAUCCACUGCACUCCGGAUGUGCUGACCCCUGCGAUUUCCCCCAAACUGGGAAACUCAACUGCAUGCUUUGUGAUCGUGCGUUCUCAAAAAAAA
rnacentral:snRNA from 1 species